GUCAGUCCUUUGGAAUACAGAGAAAACCGGCUAGAGCCCCAGAAUGGCUAUCUUGCACCUGCCUGCUGCCUCUCCUUCUCUUCCAGCUGCUUCUGUCUGCCAUAUGAAGAAAUGUGCUCUCUUACUAGCAAGGUAUUUGUGGUAGAAUAUGGAUUUAAUAACAAGAAAUGUCAACAUUUCCCUGGAUGAAGUUGUUUAUGCGUGAUGAAACUUGUUCAGUAUUCUUGUAUCUCUUCUUUGUGCUUGAGACAGAAGCCACUGUGAAGCUCCACUGAAACAGUAGACACAUGUGUGGACUUAGAUGUACUGGAGAACACUCACAAUUACAUCUACCUGGGCUUCACUGUUGAGAACAGAGACGUCCACCAGAAAGAAAGAAAUGACACUGCACAAAAAAACCCCAACUUUCUUGUCUUCUCUUUUAAAAGGGUAGAUGAUAGAUAGAAAUCAAGUUGGUAUGCAGUUCCUCCAACAGCUUUAUUAAUAUGCUUU